GUUACAAGACACAGCAGAGCAAGAUUAAUUUUUUCUCUUGGCAAACAAAGAAAGAGAGGGCACAUGGAAGUCAUACAGCCACAAGCAAGAGCAAGGCUGGGUGCAGAGAUGAGCUCCAUGAACCGAAGGAUGGGGACAGAGCGCUGUCGGUUCCACCUCUGCUGUCUGGUCUCGGGCUGUGAGCUUUUGGGACUUCCAGCUCAAGGAUGAGGGAGAUGAGUGCAGGAGGAGCCCGGUGAGCCUGCCCCAGGAUCGUGGAGCAUCCAACAGCACCAGAGCCAGGGUCGUGGAGCAUCCAACAUCACCAGAGCCAUGCUCCCAGGCAGACAAACGGGCUCUGCCUGCUUCCCGUGGCUGUGCUUGCUGCUUCUCAGUGGCCCCGCUCUGCAGCCAGGUAUUGCUGCGUCCAGAGAUUCCCCUGCUGAGGGGACAAAUGGCCCUUCCUCUAACAAAACAAAUGUGACAGUUUAUCGCUGUAAAGAUUGUGACAGCAAAAUUUGCCAAUCAUCCAAUUACGAGAGGUUUGAAAUAAUCGGAGAAACACAAAAUGGGACAUUAUCUAAUGACAUUAUUCAGUUGGUGACCAGUGAAACUCACAUCAUUAUGUGCUUUCAGCAAGAAAUUAAGUAUCUUAACGAAGUUUAUGCCGUCAUCUUGGAGAACAACUCGGGAAUAGGAGAAUCCUGUGGCAAGCUGGAGCUUGGAGAAAAUGGGGCGCAUCACAUCACAGAGGAGGAAAAAAUCUGCUGUGCAGUAGAGACAAAUGAAACCAAAGCAUACGUCAGGAACCUGAACUGCUACAUUGAAAGCAAGAAAACAAGCUCAAUAUACAGGCCCCCUGAUGAUAUAACUCUAGAUAAUCCAACAGAUCCAGGCAACAGUAAGAGAAUUGGCAUCACUGCCGCUUUCCUGAUUCUUGGGGUUUGUGCAGCAGCAGCACUGGUGCUGUAUUGUGUUCAAAGAACCCGAAAUGGUCAAGGACCUGUCAUAGUGCUCUAUCAGAUUCUUAAAGGUGUUAUAAAACCCAAUCAGGCUUACGAAAGCAGAAGGUCACAGCCAUUUGAAGCAUCAUCUAUAAAUGAGACAAACCAGGCCUUCAUGACAGCAGCAUCCUUCUCAAACAAAGUCUAG
rnacentral:lncRNA from 1 species